rnacentral:tRNA from 1 species
GGGGAUGUAAUUCAGUGAUAGAGCACUUGCCUAGCAGGCAUGAGGCCCUGAGUUCAAACCCCAGUAUUCCAA